CAGCGGACAAACAACAACAACAACCCGGCGUCUGUGUGCCACUGCGAGGGACGACGAGGUCGAGAUGGACCGCGAUAGGCGAACAUUGGAAAUAAGAAGCAGGGAGAAAAGAAGGCGAGCAGGAGGAAUGUCACUUUGGAGGAGCGUGACGAAACCGAGAUGACGGACUCGGAGCGCAACUCGCCGAGCCCAUUCUGAGGACGCCGAGACAAUGUGAGGCUUUUAUCAGCAAGCCGAGGAAUCUGGAUCAACAGUAUGCAAAACAUACACCAAAAUAAAUGCAACCAAACAUGUUGCAACAGCAGAACCUCGCUGGGUUUUUGUGCUUCCUAUAAAAAAAUAAAGUUUCACAUAAUGACAAAAUGAGCUGCAGCUCCUGAUGCAGUCAGGGUGGCAUGUCUGUAUCUGACAGCAGAGCUGCUGCUGGUGUCGGGGGGGGUGUUGGUAUCUUUCAUUAUUUCCAGCCCAGGAAUGCAGCAAUCACUAUUAACUCGCCAAGCGCCAAGCUUUUUUUUUCUUCUUUCCCUUCUCCACAAACUAGUUGCAACAUGCCGUAGAUGAAGAAAAUCAUUGUUAUCUUUCUCCUCUAUUAGCAGUCUGACAGAGUUGUUCUACACUGAGGAGCGUGCACACACCGAAUCCCCAAAGAGCCACACAUUUAACACG